rnacentral:lncRNA from 1 species
GUUCCUCAGGGCUGUCCAGAUAAGGACUGACAGGAGGAAAGUUCUGGUCUCAGUGUCUGUCACGCAAAGCUGUGGCUCAUUAACCCUGAUGAACUCUCAGAUGGGGCUAGGCGGGAUUGGGGGAGGAUGCAGAUCAAAGCUUCCUAACUGAGGGCAUUCACGUUUAUGGAGCAGUGACUGUUUACCUGGGGAGAGUUUGCAGCAAUAAAGGGGACAUCCCUUUCCUGUAGAAGCUCACAGGAUGGGGGUACAUAAACGGAGGGAGUUAUUGAGAGAUUCAGGCCCAGAUUGGACAGAUGAAGAAGGCCUCCCUCUCACGAGAAGAGGAAAAGGCAUCCUUGAGGGGAGGAAGAGCAGGGGGUAUCACAGUGCUCCUAGGGGAGACGACAGGGCAAAAGCAGACAGGGGAGAGGUCACUGCACACUAGGCGACUCUGGGAACGUCUCCCCGCCCUGCAGGGAACAUCCAGCGCCUGUGCUCCUCCUCAGAGCCCUGGAGGUGGGGUUGGGACGCGCAUCUGACUCUUUGUGCGGGGGUUCCUGUGGAUUUGAUGGGCGUCCUGCUGUUCUCUCCCCAGACGCCAUGCGGCAAACCCUACUGCUGCUGCUGCUGACGGUGCUGCGCCCCAGCUGGGCAGACCCUCCCCAGGAGAAGGUCCCGCUCUUCCGGGUCACUCAGCAGGGCCCCUGGGGGAGCAGUGGCAGCAACGCCACCGACUCGCCCUGCGAGGGGCUGCCCGCCGCGGAUGCGACGGCCUUGACCCUGGCGAACCGCAACCUGGAGCGCCUGCCCGGCUGCCUACCGCGCACACUGCGCAGCCUCGACGCCAGCCACAACCUGCUGCGCGCCCUGAGCACUUCCGAGCUCGGCCACCUGGAGCAGCUGCAGGUGCUGACCCUGCGCCACAACCGCAUCGCCGCGCUGCGCUGGGGCCCGGGUGGGCCGGCGGGGCUGCACACCCUGGACCUCAGCUACAACCAGCUGGCCUCUCUGCCGCCGUGCGCCGGGCCCGUGCUGAGCAGCCUCCGCGCCCUGGCGCUCGCCGGGAAUCCGCUGCAGG